rnacentral:rRNA from 6 species
AAAUUGAAGAGUUUGAUCAUGGCUCAGAUUGAACGCUGGCGGCAGGCCUAACACAUGCAAGUCGAACGGUAACAGGAAGCAGCUUGCUGCUUUGCUGACGAGUGGCGGACGGGUGAGUAAUGUCUGGGAAACUGCCUG